UACGUAGGUGGCAAGCGUUGUCCGGAAUUAUUGGGCGUAAAGCGCGCGCAGGCGGUCCCUUAAGUCUGAUGUGAAAGCCCACGGCUCAACCGUGGAGGGUCAUUGGAAACUGGGGGACUUGAGUGCAGAAGAGGAAAGUGGAAUUCCAUGUGUAGCGGUGAAAUGCGUAGAGAUGUGGAGGAACACCAGUGGCGAAGGCGACUUUCUGGUCUGUAACUGACGCUGAGGCGCGAAAGCGUGGGGAGCAAACAGG
rnacentral:ncRNA from 2 species